UCGCUCAACGGAUAAAAGGUACUCCGGGGAUAACAGGCUGAUACCGCCCAAGAGUUCAUAUCGACGGCGGUGUUUGGCACCUCGAUGUCGGCUCAUCACAUCCUGGGGCUGAAGUCGGUCCCAAGGGUAUGGCUGUUCGCCAUUUAAAGUGGUACGCGAGCUGGGUUUAGAACGUCGUGAGACAGUUCGGUCCCUAUCUACCGUGGGCGUUGGAAAUUUGAGAGGAUCUGCUCCUAGUACGAGAGGACCAGAGUGGACGAACCUCUGGUGUUUCGGUUGUGACGCCAGUCGCAUUGCCGAGUAGCUAUGUUCGGAUGGGAUAACCGCUGAAAGCAUCUAAGCGGGAAGCCCACCUUAAGAUUAGAUUUCCCUAAAGAGCCGUUGUAGACUACGACGUUGAUAGGUUGGGUGUGGAAGCACAGCGAUGUGUGUAGCUAACCAAUACUAAUUGCUCGUUUGGCUU
rnacentral:rRNA from 14 species